UUCCGUAGGUGAACCUGCGGAAGGAUCAAUUAUACGUGAUUCCACAUAUUCCACACUGCAUCUGAAUGUGUGAUGGUUCGCCAUCACAGGGGCCUGGGAUUCGUCUCUCGCCAAUGUUAACCUUUUUUUCUCCUUUAAAAAUUUUUCCACUUUCUAUUUUACAACUUUUAGCGAUGGAUGUCUCGGCUCAGGCAACGAUGAAGGACGCCGCAAAAUGCGAUAAGCUUUGUGAAUGGCAGAAUUCCGCGAAUCAACAGAAUGCUGAACGCAUACUGCACUUUCAGGUUAUUCCUGAAAGUAUGUCUGGAUCAGGGCGUCUAUACUUUCAUGCCGUCUUUCAGCUCUCACGUCAAGUGCGUCUGGAACUCGUGCGUUUGUGUGCGUCAGCGACGUCGACCCGUUGACGCAUUAAAUAUCGUGGCAUCUUGCUUGUCUUAGCUCGCGCUAGGUGGAAUGUCAUUUCAGCGUGCAGCGAUAGGCGGUAAGAGUAUUGCGACUUGUUUUUUUUUGUUGCGCAUGAUCUCAGAUAAGAUUACCCGCUGAAUUUAAGCAUAUCAA
rnacentral:rRNA from 1 species